UAUAUCAACGCCUCUUGCCUUGCAAUCUUUUGUAACUUAAGUGUAGUAAAUAUUAACGAUGGAUUGUUGAAAUCGGAAGAUAAAUACAGCUGCACUCAAAAUGGUUUAGACCAGGCAUUUACAAUACACACCUCAACGAUUGUAGAAGGGUUUGUAGCACAAGGUUGUUUCCAGAAAGUAUUCACAAUGCCAAAAUUUCGUCCACGUGAUUGUCCUGCCAAAUGCAGUGAGCGAAGGUUCCAGAACAGCAAGCAACUGCGUCGUCAUUUUCUGAGAGAUCAUCGUCUCGUAGCAGAGUAUUGUUUCAGAUGCAAGGAACCAUUCUUAUCAACAAUGGCAUUUCAAGACCAUAACAGAGCAAAACAUCCGUAAAAUGUGACAUAUUUCUUGUGCCUCUAUGCAUUACAUUAGUUUUCUUUAUUGCAUUCAGGGUGUAUAUUAUGCGUGUGUACAUGUGUGUAUUAUAAACUACACAUCAGAGAACAUAAAAUGUAGUUACGUUAA